ACCACUUUAGUAUAAACGUACAAGUGACUUCCAAUCACUAAGAUUUAGAAUCAACCUAAAAAGUGGUA
rnacentral:tRNA from 1 species